GCUGUAGAGCAAAGUGACUCAGUUCUACGGAAAUCCAUUCCCUUUUUAUGUUUUUUAUUUUUUAAUUUAUUUUUUGCUUUUUUAGGGCUGCACCUGAGGCAUAUGGAAGUUUCCAGGCCAAGGGGCAAUCGGAGCUGUAGCUGCUGGUCUACACCACUGCUCAUGGCAACACCGGAUCCUUAACCCACUGAGUGAAGCCAGGGAUCAAACCUGCAUCCUCAUGGAUACUCGUCAGGUUCUUAACCCACUGAGCCACAUGGGAACUCCCUAUGCAUUCUUUUUUAUCUUCUUUUCCAUCAAGGUCCAUUCCAGGAAUUGGAUAUGGUUCCCUGUGCUCCACAGUAGGACCUCGUUGUUCUGAGGUAUUUUGGGCCUCAGGUCAUCUACUACGUGCUGGGGUCUACACCCUCAAGGACCUUACUAACCCCUGGAGAGAGAGGCGUCAGCAGUGAGGACCCAGUAUGAAGCAUGAUGUGUGCUGUGGAAAGGGGGCUUCUGGAGGCACCAAGUGGGCACCAACCCAACACCCAGGUGGCGGAAUUCGUCUGAGACUGGAAGAACAGGAGUUCAUCAGAUGGACGAGGUGAGACAGGACAUCCCAGGGAAAGAGAAUCUCACAGAAAGAGGUCCGAGAGAGAGGAUGAUGCUUCGGAGGAGGCGGCAGAGAAAGUGUUUUCACCCACAUGGCUGGUGCAAGUAUCCAUUGCUUAGAUAGCACCUCGACGAAGGACAAUCCAGCAAUAAUCUUUGAGGUUACGAACACACAUAUCCUUUCACCCAGAAACUCCACCUCCCACAUGUGCAAAGUGAGGUACUUACAAGGUCAUUCAAUGCAGCAUUGUUUGUAAUGGCGAAAGGCUUUGGGAUGACCUAAAUGUCCACCAAUAGGAGUCUGGUUAGAUGAAUUCUAGCACAGCCCUGCAAAGAAUAUUCGGCAGUGGAAAAAAGAAUGAAGCCGUUCUUUCUCUUCUGGUAGGAAAUGAUCUCCAUGAGUAUCUUUAGGUGAUAAAAAGCAAAGCAUCAACCAAAUAUGAUGUGUGGACCAUGCUUGCAUUUAGAUUUGAACAAAGCAGCAUCUGUUAAACAGAGCGAAAAAGAGAGAGACCAUCGGGGAACUCUAAAUGCCCAUUGGAUAGUUUAUGAUACACAUUUUUUAAACAUGUAAUAGAUAUUGUAGUUAUUUUUAAGUCAUUUUCUUUUAGUGAUAUAUGCUGAAGUAUUUGUAGAUAAAAUUAUACAGUGUCAGAGAUUUGCUUUAAAAUAAUCAGGGAGGGGGGAGUAGGGCUGAGUAGGUCCAGGUAGAACAAAACUGGCCAUGUGUGAUAAUUGCCGAAGUGAGCUGAAGGCUGGGGCGGGGGAGGGGCGUUUCACGUGAUUUUCUCGACUUUUGUAUACGUGCGAAAUUUUUCUAUGACAAAAAGAUCUUAGAAAGCAAGAAACAGAAUAGCGUAU
ensembl:lncRNA